rnacentral:rRNA from 1 species
AGCGGCGGACGGGUGAGUAACACGUGGGCAACCUGCCCUGUAGAUUGGGAUAACUCCGGGAAACCGGGGCUAAUACCGAAUAAUCCAUUACCUCACAUGAGGAAAUGUUAAAAGACGGUCUCGGCUGUCACUACAGGAUGGGCCCGCGGCGCAUUAGCUAGUUGGUGAGGUAACGGCUCACCAAGGCGACGAUGCGUAGCCGACCUGAGAGGGUGAUCGGCCACACUGGGACUGAGACACGGCCCAG